rnacentral:lncRNA from 1 species
CAUAAAAUAAUAAAUUUAAAUUCAUACAAGUCAUGUUACAUAUAAACAAUCAUUGUAUAAAUAAAUACACAUUAUCAUGAUAAUAGUUUAAUUUAAACAGGAAAAGAUAGAAUAAGAUCUAUAUGCAAGUUCAAAGGCAAGUAAUUUCUCUUUAGCAGCCAGUGAGAAUGACACACAGUUUUCUGAAGCUUCACAUUAAUGUGUUUUUAUAAAAUCAUUUACUAACGAUUUGUAAGAUCUCGUAAUUUUGAGACCCAACUUAUGCCAAAAUUUAUCAAGUAAUUCCUUUUGAAAAACAUUAGGCAAUGCAGACCGUAAAACCCUGUAUUUCUUCUUUACACUUAAUAGACCUUCAACCCACACAACUUCUUGAAUUAACUUGUUAAUUCUCGUUAUGUGUUUCACAAAGAUUGUAAGAUCAUCAUCUUGAACAUUGAAUUCUGACGAGAAAUUAAUCAAUUAUCAAUCACAAUUUUCACUCUGUCCUUCUGUUGCUUUAUGAAAACUCGUCUGAUUGUUCUUAUCAUCACCAUAAUUUUCUAUAACAUAUACAAAAAAUAAUUAGAACUUACCACAUAUACAUGUAUAAACAUGCAUAUAGAAAUUUAUGGUGAAAAUAAAAUUUUACAAAAAACUUUAUAUUAAUAUGGCUUAUAAAAGAAAAUUAACUCAUAGUUCUUAAAAGAAGAUAAAAAAAAACUAACCCAUAUUUGUUACUAACAAAAAUCCUCCUAUUUUUUUUAAAGGAAAGUGUCACGAUUUGACACAAACUAGAAUAAAAUUGAAGAUUCUUAUACUAGUCAAAAUAUAUAGCAUAUGAGGCAAUGAACAAAAAUAAAUCAAGUUGAAAGAAUGUUGUCUUAAGAUUUUUUUAUUCUCAAACUACCUAAAAAAUUAAUCUCAAACUACUUUGCCACUGCCAAGAACAUCAAUAUCAUAAAAAAUAACACACCCACUUUAUGCGGUUUUUUAGAAGAAGAAGAAAUUUAAAAUAAUGAUAGCUUGUACAAACCUCCACGUCAAUUGUUGAAAAUUGUAUUCAACUUACCGUUGAUGGGCAGGUCUAGAUCAUUCUUCCUCCUUAUUUCUUGAAAGACACAAUUUUUAUUGGUUCUUUCUCCUUUUUUUUUUCAUGAAUGGCACGAUGAAUAAAAAUAGAUCAAACAAAAUAUACAAUUCACACAAUUGUAAUUUUCUAAAAAAUAAGGCUAGAGAGACUAAUAACGGAGGCUCUGAUGUCAAUGUUGAAUCUUAUCAAACACACAAUUUGUAGGAUCAUUAAAUUCGUUUCACUAAUCAGAAUGUAAUCACGUACAUAAACGAACUACGCCAUAUUGAUUCACAAUCUAAAAUCGUACCCAUUACAAAAGAUUAUUUCAAUCGCUGAUGGAGAUUACUUUAAUCUUUACAGGAAUUUUCUUGCUGAAAUUCUUCACCCAAAAAGAAGAGAGUUUUGCAAAGAGAGAGAGAAAGAGGAAGAACAAAAAAAAUAUUUUUUUUUUGCUUUUGAUCUUUUAUCUUAUCUGAAGAAACAUAACUGUUCAGAUGAGAUGUAACUUUUCAAUAGGGACAUAACUAUUGAGAAGAGACACAACUCUUCAAUAGAGACAUAACUCUUCAGAUAGUCUUUUCCAAC